GUUAUAUUGCCAGCUGCUCAGCGCCUGCCCUAUACCCCCAUCCUUCUCCGCUUGCAAAGGUUUGUCCCUGCCUUACUUUUAGCUUUCAGUACUUUUGAGAUGCCCGAUAAAGUCCCCUCGCCUUUGUAAACUGAUUGUGUGGAGCAGUGAAACAGAUGUAUUCGUAGCCGUGCUGUCUCCUGUGGCUAAACAUGUACAUACACCAUACAUUGCAUCUUCUUAAAUACCAACAUGGAGUGAAUUUCUGCCUGGCCACAGUUUAAGAAGUCAAUGUGCUAAUUGGUCACUGUGAGAAGUAACAACACAAAGCCACUGACGCCCCCAAUUUCAGAAGCCUGUUUCGGCUACAAAACAUCACGUGACAGGCGAAUGGCUUAUUGUUUUUGCUUUAGUCAACAUUGCAGCCGAAGAAAUACAAUACACGCUUCGGGAUUUGAGUCAGUAUGUCCCUAGCGCGUCCCCGUACUUCGCGUCUUGAAGGGGCGUGGUCACGCGUGUAAACUCCAAUGGUGGAACUCGUGGGAAAGUUUUAGGCUGUUGCAAGCAGUUCACGUUGGGGAUAAGAUUUACCAUUAGGAAGCGCGAAAGGAAAAGGAGACCAUUUUCAGCCGUAGAACACAUGAAUGAAACUCAUGCCUCUUGAGUUUUCAGGGUUUGCCAAUUAGAAAUAUUACAGAAGAACAACCUCCCAAAGUGUGCCACCCUCCUCAUGAACCACAUCCAAUGCUCUCCCUUCAGUUGCCCUCCUAUCAAAUACCUGGGCUAAGAGAAAUAUCGCAAAGGAGUUAGUGGCUGCCAUGUUACAUCUGAUGUGCUGGCUCUCCGGGAUUCAUCACUGUCAGUUGCUCACUUUCCUUCUAGGUUGUUAUGGGGGAGCAUAUGAUUGUAGAUUGGGCCCUUUGCAGAGGAGGGACACUUUUAAAAAUCACCAAGCAUGGGUGGUGGUGACUUCCUACCCACGUCUUUGAAGGCCUGGAUCACAACUUUUAUAGAGAUGCUACACGUUACAAUCUGAAAGGAUCUUAAGCUUAUUUAUAUUUUACAGGAAAUGCUUGCUAUAUGUGAGUCUUUGCUGGGCGACAUUGAAGACAUGGUAUUAGAUACAGUCCCAAAGCCUCAUGAUCGCCAGUCUGCAAGACAAAAUGUAGUACCCAGAGCACGGAAAAGAAAUAAAAACAUCAUCCAAGAGGAAUAACCCCCUGCUGAUAGGGCCGCCGAUUAAAGGAGCAGCAGGCGAAUACACAUCUAUCGCCAUGUCAAGCCGGCAUCUAUACCCCUUACUUCUAGUGCGAGGCUCCCUCUGCACCCGACCGCAACUGGCUAGCCGAUACCUUAAUGAGGAAAGUGUGCUCAUGGAUCAGGUAAGUGUACGCGUCCUCUCCGGAUCGCUCCUAUUCAUGUCUCCUUGUCAGCAACCAGGACCGCUGCAGAGGCCAGCCUUGAAUCAUCCGACUUAUCGUGCCACUGUCUGAAGAGAACCUCCUACUCAAUCGGCAAAGCGCGGGUGGUAUAACCACUUCCUAACUCCCGAUCUUCUAUGGAGGACUCGCUGGACACGCUAUGCCCCUGGGUUCCGUUCAGCGAUCCAUUGUAUCGGAAACACACUGCACCAGUCUCCUAGGUAUUAGGAGGCACACAUCCCCGGUAACAUGCUGCUCAAACUUACGUCAGGGGAGCCAAGCACCAUGGGUGAGCCUAGCUCGACUUAGGCCGACCUUCUGUUACUACUCCUCAAUCAGCCUUCCCUGUUUUCGCCAGCGAACCAUGAAAGAAAGAAAAAAACGUUAAAAACAUAAGAACUCGUAGUAUUGCCAUAGCCCAUUCGUUUUAGAAAAUCAGUUACACAAUAUCUUUGACAUCAAAUCAGUACUUGUAACAGUUACAAAUGUUCCAUCUUACAAUGUAUCUUUAUGUUGCAGACCUACUAAGGAGAAAAUACACGGACAGCGUUAAGACUCUGGCUAUUGCUUCUGUGCCAACGCGCCCAAAAAAAAAGAAAGCAAGCGGUCCGCGGAAUCAAGUUCCGAAAAUGCCACAAGGGCUGUCCUGCAAUCAAAAAAGUGAAAAAAUAAAAAAUCAAAAAUAACCAAAAAAUGCAAAUAUGAUAAAAUACAAAAUCAAAAAAAUCAAAAAAAUUUGAUGUUGUAUGUCCUAUGUUUGUUCAAGACAUGAUCUGUAUUAGGCCAGAGCCGU